rnacentral:rRNA from 1 species
CGAGUGGCGGACGGGUGAGUAAUGUCUGGGAACUGCCUGAUGGAGGGGGAGUAACUACUGGAAACGGUAGCUAAUACCGCAUAACGUCGCAAGACCAAAGAGGGGGACCUUCGGGCCUCUUGCCAUCGGAUGUGCCCAGAUGGGAUUAGCUAGUAGGUGGGGUAACGGCUCACCUAGGCGACGAUCCCUAGCUGGUCUGAGAGGAUGACCAGCCACACUGGAACUGAGACACGGUCCAGACUCCUACGGGAGGCAGCAUG